GUGGGGAAUAUUGGACAAUGGGCGAAAGCCUGAUCCAGCCAUGCCGCGUGUGUGAAGAAGGUCUUCGGAUUGUAAAGCACUUUAAGUUGGGAGGAAGGGCAGUAAGUUAAUACCUUGCUGUUUUGACGUUACCGACAGAAUAAGCACCGGCUAACUUCGUGCCAGCAGCCGCGGUAAUACGAAGGGUGCAAGCGUUAAUCGGAAUUACUGGGCGUAAAGCGCGCGUAGGUGGUUUUGUAAGUUGGAGGUGAAAUCCCCGGGCUCAACCUGGGAACUGCCUCCAAAACUGCAUGACUAGAGUGCGGUAGAGGGUAGUGGAAUUUCCUGUGUAGCGGUGAAAUGCGUAGAUAUAGGAAGGAACACCAGUGGCGAAGGCGGCUACCUGGUCGAGUACUGACACUGAGGUGCGAAAGCAUGGGGAGCAAACAGGAUUAGAUACCCGUGUAGUCC
rnacentral:rRNA from 1 species